UAGGGAAUCUUGCACAAUGGGCGAAAGCCUGAUGCAGCGAUGCCGCGUGAGGGAUGAAGGCCUUCGGGUUGUAAACCUCUUUCAGUAGGGAAGAAGCCACGGGACACCGUGGUGACGGUACCUGCAGAAGAAGCCCCGGCUAACUACGUGCCAGCAGCCGCGGUAAAACGUAGGGGGCUAGCGUUGCCCGGAUUCACUGGGCGUAAAGCGGGUGUAGGCGGUUCUUUAAGUCGGAUGUGGAAUCCAGCGGCCCAACCGCUGAAUUGCAUCCGAUACUGGGGAACUUGAGGACGGUAGAGGUCGGUGGAAUUCCAGGUGUACCGGUGAAAUGGACAGAUAUCUGGAGGAACACCAGUGGCGAAGGCGGCCGACUGGGCCGAUCCUGACGCUGAGACCCGAAAGCCAGGGUAGCGAACCG
rnacentral:rRNA from 1 species